rnacentral:rRNA from 1 species
UGGGGAAUUUUGCACAAUGGGGGCAACCCUGAUGCAGCGACGCCGCGUGAUUUAGAAGGCCUUCGGGUUGUAAAAAUCUUUUGUAUGGGAAGAAAAUGACAGUACCAUACGAAUAAGGACCGGCUAAUUACGUGCCAGCAGCCGCGGUAAUACGUAAGGUCCGAGCGUUGUCCGGAAUCAUUGGGCGUAAAGGGUACGUAGGCGGAUAAGCAAGUUAGAAGUAAAAUCCUAUAGCUCAACUAUAGUAAGCUUUUAAAACUGCUCAUCUUGAGGGAUGGAAGGGAAAGUGGAAUUCCUAGUGUAGCGGUGAAAUGCGCAGAUAUUAGGAGGAAUACCGGUGGCGAAAGCGACUUUCUGGCCAUACACUGACGCUGAGGUACGAAAGAGUGGGUAGAAAACAGG